ACACGCCGACUUGGCGAGCGCACGCGCACGUGGGCACGCGGCAGCGUCUAACGUUAGGUCGCUGCCGUGGGUCCAUCGCACGAGACUUCAACCACGAAGAGCGAUACCACCGACGAGUGACGACAAACGUUCGCGGAGGGCGGAGCAGCACGAGAGUCGGCAACAAGCGUCGGAGACAGCGACCGUCGCUUUUUCUCGCAUCAUAAAUCGGAGGGACGGGGAGGGGUCUAGAAGCGUGCGUUCGAUCGGCGAUUGAGAUCUAUGGAGUACUGGUGGGAGCAAGUGGUGCUGCUUCCCAUGCGGCGAGUUCAGGUCGGCGUCGCCGCCCGGCUCGGCAUCCGAAGGAGCGGGCUAAGGAAGCUGAGGGAGGAGGUGAGGACGUGCGAGUACGAGGACGUCCAUGUGCUGUGGGAGAUGCUGCGCAAGAGUACUGACACCGAGACCCGACGGCAGACGCCGGCCAUCCAGCGGCGGCGGAGGACCUCCCUCUUCCAUUGGUCUCCUUGUCACCUCCGUCGCAACCUCUAAUUCGUUUUCUUGUGCUGCCGCUCUCUCUCUCUCUCUCCCUCUCUGGCCAUUUGACAUUCUACGGAGGCACAAUCUCCGGGGCUCCGAUUGUAGUGAUAUACUAGUCGUCGUCAUCAUAGAGUAAGAAAUGAUGAGGAUGAACACAGCAGCCUCUCGCUACUACGCUUGCAUACCAUGAGAUCACAGUUCGCAAAUCAUGAUGUAGUAAGAAAUGAAGACGAAAGAAAUGUUAUA